rnacentral:rRNA from 1 species
GACAGAGGUGCCAAGCGUUAGGCGGAAUCACUGGGCUUAAAGCGUGUGUAGGCGGAUUGGUAAGUACCUUGUGAAAUCCCACGGCUCAACCGUGGAACGGCUGGGUAUACUGGCGGUCUUGGGCCAUUCAGGGGCGACUGGAACAAGCGGUGGAGCGGUGAAAUGCGUAGAUAUCGCUUGGAACGCCGAAGGUGAAAACAGGUCGCUGGGGAUGUGCCAACGCUGAGACACGAAAGCCAGGGGAGCAAACGGG